GGAUUGCCUCAGUAACGGCGAGUGAAGCGGCAAGAGCUCAAAUUUGAAAGCUGGCUCCUUCGGAGUCCGCAUUGUAAUUUGCAGAGGAUGCUUUGGGUGCGGCCCCCGUCUAAGUGCCCUGGAACGGGCCGUCAGAGAGGGUGAGAAUCCCGUCUUGGGCGGGGUGUCCGUGCCCGUGUAAAGCUCCUUCGACGAGUCGAGUUGUUUGGGAAUGCAGCUCUAAAUGGGUGGUAAAUUUCAUCUAAAGCUAAAUACUGGCCGGAGACCGAUAGCGCACAAGUAGAGUGAUCGAAAGAUGAAAAGCACUUUGAAAAGAGAGUUAAACAGCACGUGAAAUUGUUGAAAGGGAAGCGCUUGCGACCAGACUCGCCCGCGGGGUUCAGCCGGCAUUCGUGCCGGUGUACUUCCCCGUGGGCGGGCCAGCGUCGGUUUGGGCGGCCGGUCAAAGGCCCCUGGAAUGUAGUGCCCUCCGGGGCACCUUAUAGCCAGGGGUGCAAUGCGGCCAGCCUGGACCGAGGAACGCGCUUCGGCACGGACGCUGGCAUAAUGGUCGUAAACGACCCGUCUUGAAACACGGACCAAGGAGUCUAACAUCUACGCGAGUGUUCGGGUGUCAAACCCGUGCGCGCAGUGAAAGCGAACGGAGGUGGGAGCCCCCUUGCGGGGCGCACCAUCGACCGAUCCUGAUGUCUUCGGAUGGAUUUGAGUAAGAGCGUAGCUGUGGGGACCCGAAAGAUGGUGAACUAUGCCUGAAUAGGGCGAAGCCAGAGGAAACUCUGGUGGAGGCUCGCAGCGGUUCUGACGUGCAAAUCGAUCGUCAAAUUUGGGUAUAGGGGCGAAAGACUAAUCGAACCAUCUAGUAGCUGGUUCCUGCCGAAGUUUCCCUCAGGAUAGCAGUAACGCAAAAUCAGUUUUAUGAGGUAAAGCGAAUGAUUAGAGGCAUUGGGGUUGAAACAACCUUAACCUAUUCUCAAACUUUAAAUAUGUAAGAAGCCCUUGUUGCUUAGUUGAACGUGGGCAUUAGAAUGGAGCGUUACUAGUGGGCCAUUUUUGGUAAGCAGAACUGGCGAUGCGGGAUGAACCGAACGCGAGGUUAAGGUGCCGGAAUGCACGCUCAUCAGACACCACAAAAGGUGUUAGUUCAUCUAGACAGCCCGACGGUGGCCAUGGAAGUCGGAAUCCGCUAAGGAGUGUGUAACAACUCACGGGCCGAAUGAACUAGCCCUGAAAAUGGAUGGCGCUCAAGCGUGCUACCCAUACCUCGCCGUCGGGGUAGAAACGAUGCCCCGACGAGUAGGCAGGCGUGGGGGUCCGUGACGAA
rnacentral:rRNA from 1 species